UGGGGAAUCUUGCGCAAUGCGCGAAAGCGUGACGCAGCAACGCCGCGUGGGUGAAGAAGGCCUUCGGGUUGUAAAGCCCUUUCAGUUGGGACGAAGCUCCGCCGGUGAAUAGCCGGCCGGAGUGACGGUACCUUCAGAAGAAGCCCCGGCUAACUACGUGCCAGCAGCCGCGGUAAUACGUAGGGGGCAAGCGUUGUCCGGAAUCAUUGGGCGUAAAGAGCGUGUAGGUGGCUCGGUAAGUCCGCUGUAAAAGUCCAGGGCUCAACCCUGGAAAGCCGGUGGAAACUGUCGAGCUAGAGUCCGGAAGAGGCGAGUGGAAUUCCUGGUGUAGCGGUGAAAUGCGCAGAUAUCAGGAGGAACACCAAUGGCGAAGGCAGCUCGCUUGGGACGGUACUGACACUGAGACGCGAAAGCGUGGGGAGCAAACA
rnacentral:rRNA from 1 species